rnacentral:rRNA from 1 species
UACGUAGGUGGCAAGCGUUGUCCGGAUUUACUGGGCGUAAAGAGCGCGCAGGCGGUCGAAUAAGUCGAAUGUGAAAGCCCCCGGCUCAAACUGGGGAGGGUCAUUCGAUACUGCUCGACUUGAAGGCAGGAGAGGGUAGUGGAAUUCCCGGUGUAGUGGUGAAAUGCGUAGAUAUCGGGAGGAACACCAGUGGCGAAGGCGACUACCUGGCCUGUUCUUGACGCUGAGGCGCGAAAGCUGGGGGAGCAAACGGGG